GUGCAGCAGGCGCGAAUCCUCCGCAAUACACGAAAGUGUGACGGGGCCAUCCCGAGUGCCGUCCGCUGAGGACGGCUUUUCCCCAGUGUACAUAGCUGGGGGAAUAAGGAGAGGGCAAGCCUGGUGUCAGCCGCCGCGGGUAAUACCAGCGUACUCCGAGUGGUGGGGACGCUUAGUUGGGCCGUAAAGCGAUCCGUAGCCGGCUGGGCAAGU
rnacentral:rRNA from 1 species